rfam:Oryza glumipatula chromosome 8, whole genome shotgun sequence.
AAAGACUCAAUUCCUUAGUUUGGGUAUUCAACGUUUGACCAUCCGUCUUAUAUAAAAUUUUUUAUGAUUAGUAUUUUCAUUAUUGUUAGACGAUAAAACAUGAAUAAUACUUUAUGCAUGACUUAUCUUUUUAAAUUUUUUCAUAACUUUUUCAAAUAAAACGAACGAUCAAACGUUAGACACGGAAACCCAGAAAUUGAGUUUUU